rnacentral:rRNA from 1 species
GGACUACAAGGGUAUCUAAUCCUGUUUGCUCCCCACGCUUUCGCGCCUCAGCGUCAGUCAAGGACCAGGUCGCCGCCUUCGCCACCGGUGUUCUUCCCAAUAUCUACGAAUUUCACCUCUACACUGGGAAUUCCACGACCCUCUUCCUCACUCCAGAUCGCACGUAUCAAAUGCAGCCCCCAGGUUAAGCCCAGGAAUUUCACAUCUGACUGUACCAUCCGCCUACGCGCCCUUUACGCCCAGUCAUUCCGAGCAACGCUAGCCCCCUUCGUAUUACCGCGGCGGCUGGCAC